UACGGGGGGGGCAAGCGUUGUUCGGAAUUACUGGGCGUAAAGGGCCAGUAGGCGGCCAACUAAGUCCGACGUGAAAUCCCAAGGCUUAACCUUGGAACUGCGUCGGAUACUGGAUGGCUUGAAUUCGGGAGAGGGAUGCAGAGUUCCAGGUGUAGCGGUGAAAUGCGUAGAUAUCUGGAGGAAUACCGGUGACGAAGGCGGCAUCCUGGACCGACAUUGACGCUGAACGGCGAAAGCUAGGGGAGCAAACGGG
rnacentral:rRNA from 1 species